rnacentral:lncRNA from 1 species
GACUCAUCAGCUUCUUAACUCCUUUAGCUCAGUCCCUAGCCCCUGGCAUAACCUAUUUCAUUGUCUGAAUUUUCCAGUCUCAGACAGAGUUGGCUCAGCCGUGGGAGGUGAAAUUCAGGAAGAGAAACUAAGAAGCCAAGAGAAAAAAAAUGUCUUGUCCAAGACUUUAGAUGGAACGAAGUGAAAAGGUUAACCCUUCCAAUGAUGCUUAAAGAAACAUACAGCUGACCAAGCUGGAAUACAUCAG